GACGGGUGAGUAACGCGUGGGAACGUGCCCUCUGGUUCGGAACAACUCUGGGAAACUGGAGCUAAUACCGGAUACGCCCUGUGAAGGGGAAAGGCUUGCUGCCGGAGGAUCGGCCCGCGUCUGAUUAGCUAGUUGGCGGGGUAACGGCCCACCAAGGCGACGAUCAGUAGCUGGUCUGAGAGGAUGAUCAGCCACACUGGGACUGAGACACGGCCCAGACUCCUACGGGAGGCAGCAGUGGGGAAUAUUGGACAAUGGGCGCAAGCCUGAUCCAGCCAUGCCGCGUGAGUGAUGAAGGCCUUAGGGUUGUAAAGCUCUUUUAUCCGGGACGAUAAUGACGGUACCGGAGGAAUAAGCCCCGGCUAACUUCGUGCCAGCAGCCGCGGUAAU
rnacentral:rRNA from 1 species